AACGUAGGUACCGAGCGUUAUCCGGAUUUACUGGGCGUAAAGCGCGUUCAGGCGGUUUGGCAAGUCGGGCAUGAAAUCUCUCGGCUCAACCGGGAGAGGUUGUCCGAUACUUCCAGACUUGAGGGCAGUAGAGGGUGGUGGAAUUCCGGGUGUAGUGGUGAAAUGCGUAGAGAUCCGGAGGAACAUCUGUGGCGAAGGCGGCCAUCUGGACCAGCACUGACACUGAGGCACGAAAGCGUGGGGAGCAAACAGG
rnacentral:rRNA from 1 species